ensembl:rRNA 5S_rRNA 5S ribosomal RNA
GCUUACAGCCAUAGCGCUCUGACAAAGCCCGAUCUCGUCUGAACUUGGAAACAAAGCAGAGUUGGGCCUGGUUAGUACUUGGAAUUUGAGAGUGCCUGGGAAUACCAGGAGCUGUAUUUA